ACAAAAAGUUAGGUUUGUACCUUCUUCUAUUGUUCAUCUUUGCUACUAUCAUUUCAACUGCCUCAUCAUCAAGAAUUCUCAAGGAAUCCAUUGAUGAAACUAGCUAUGCUUCACCGGCCCAACAGGAUGGGAGUGGCAGGGAAGUGGAUGAUGAGUUCUCUAUAGCAAGGAGAAUGGAUUUGGCGUUAGACGACUAUAAAUCUCCAAGAAUAAAGCAUUGAAUGAUACUAUUA